CUUGCACAUGUCAUCACACCGCAGACACAGUCAACAUGGCCAACCCUUACACACACAUGCAGCACUCACACCACGCCAGUCACUACGGGCAUCACAGGGAAAGCACAGGAAGAAGCAGCGUGGCCAAGUGUGCAUUCUCGUCCUGCAUCCUUCAGGGCAGGAGCUCCCUUCCCAGAACCACUUUAGAUCGUUACACACCGAGAGGAGCCAGGAGGACCUGAAUAUGGUCUGUGGAGAAGGCCCUUCAAGCUGAGCCCCUGCUGGGACAAAGCAUCUUGCCUCAGUUUCCCUGCUCACAAGGAAAUGGGAGGACCCCAGCCUUGGGAGCUGCUUCCCUGCCUCUGACUGUAGCAUCCCUGUCCCUCUCACUCCCCAGACUACACUCAUGCCUCCUUGUUAAUGUCUGGAGAAUAAAAAU